UACGAAGGGGGCUAGCGUUGCUCGGAAUGACUGGGCGUAAAGGGCGCGUAGGCGGAUGGUACAGUCAGAUGUGAAAUUCCCGGGCUCAACCUGGGGGCUGCAUUUGAUACGUGCUGUCUUGAGUUCGGAAGAGGGUCGUGGAAUUCCCAGUGUAGAGGUGAAAUUCGUAGAUAUUGGGAAGAACACCGGUGGCGAAGGCGGCGACCUGGUCCGAGACUGACGCUGAGGAGCGAAAGCGUGGGGAGCGAACAGG
rnacentral:rRNA from 1 species